GCCCGGGUAGCUCAGUUGGCUAGAGCGUGGGACUUUUACGACAGCUAUCAGUCGAUAUCCCAAUGUCGAGGGUUCGAGCCCCUCUUCGGGCG